rnacentral:rRNA from 1 species
AGAGUUUGAUCAUGGCUCAGAACGUACGCUGGCGGCACGCCUAACACAUGCAAGUCGAACGAAGUAGCAAUACUUAGUGGCAGACGGGUGAGUAACAUGUAGGUAUCUACCCUUUGGCCUGGAAUAACACGAGGAAACUUGUGCUAAUACUGGAUAAGUCUUUACGGAGAAAGCUUUAUGCACCAUUGGAUGAGCCUGCACUUGAUUAGUUUGUUGGUGGGGUAAUGGCCUACCAAGACUGUGAUCAAUAGCUGAUUUGAGAGGAUGAUCAGCCACAUUGGGACUGAGACACGGCCCAAACUCCUACGGGAGGCAGCAGUGGGGAAUCUUGCACAAUGGAGGAAACUCUGAUGCAGCGAUGCCGCGUGAGUGAAGAAGGCCCUUGGGUUGUAAAGCUCUUUCGUCGGGGAAGAAAAUGACUGUACCCGAAUAAGAAGGUCCGGCUAACUUCGUGCCAGCAGCCGCGGUAAUACGAAGGGACCUAGCGUAGUUCGGAAUUACUGGGCUUAAAGAGUUCGUAGGUGGUUGAAAAAGUUGGUGGUGAAAUCCCAGAGCUUAACUCUGGAACUGCCAUCAAAACUUUUCAGCUAGAGUUUGAUAGAGGAAAGCAGAAUUUCUAGUGUAGAGGUGAAAUUCGUAGAUAUUAGAAAGAAUACCAAUUGCGAAGGCAGCUUUCUGGAUCAUUACUGACACUGAGGAACGAAAGCAUGGGUAGCGAAGAGGAUUAGAUACCCUCGUAGUCCAUGCCGUAAACGACGUGUGUUAGACGUUGGAAAUUUAUUUUCAGUGUCGCAGCGAAAGCGAUAAACACACCGCCUGGGGAGUACGACCGCAAGGUUAAAACUCAAAUGAAUUGACGGGGACCCGCACAAGUAGUGGAGCAUGUGG